GACGAACGCUGGCGGCGUGCUUAACACAUGCAAGUCGAACGGAAAGGCCCUGCUUUUGUGGGGUGCUCGAGUGGCAAACGGGUGAGUAACACGUGAGUAACCUGCCCUUGACUUUGGGAUAACUUCAGGAACCUGGGGCUAAUACCGGAUAGGAGCUUCUGCUGCAUGGGGGGGGUUGGAAAGUUUCGGCGGUUGGGGAUGGACUCGCGGCUUAUCAGCUUGUUGGUGGGGUAGUGGCUUACCCAGGCUUUGACGGGUAGCCGGCCUGAGAGGGUGACCGGCCACAUUGGGACUGGGAUACGGCCCCGACUCCUACGGGAGGGAGCAGUGGGGGAUGUUACACGAUGGGAGGAAGCCUGAUGCAGCAACGCCGCGUGCGGGAUGGCGGCCUUCGGGUUGUAGUCCGCUUUCGCCUGUAACGGAGCGUGUGUUGCGGUAAUGGGUAGAGAAGCACCGGCUAACUACGUG
rnacentral:rRNA from 1 species